rnacentral:lncRNA from 1 species
UGAACCUUUACUAUUCUUCUUCCCUGUGGCGUGGAGGGAGUGGUGCUGGAAACGCUGACGUCUGUCCUCAGAGCAGCGCUCGGGGUUAGAGGACUGUCAGGCAACCAGGGGACACAAACAAGCCGGUAACUAUUGACUCGGGCUGGGGAAGAGCUAGCCGGAGAAAGGGCCAGGGCCAGUGCCGGGGUGACGGGACAUCCCGGGAGUCUGUGACUGAGUCCGGGCCGGGCGCCUCCAGACUGCCCUCGGGACGCGACGCGACGCGUGGCGUGCUUCUCCGCGCGAGGACGGGGCUCGCGGAGGCAGGUCGGGCAGCACCACAGGGCGCGAGGCGGGACCCCCCAGCAUGGCGAGGCGAUUCACCAAUCGGCUGAGCGCACGAAGGUAAGCCCCGCCCCCCGCGGCAGCCCGGCCGGAGGAGCUCGCGCCUGUCGUUCCCCCGCACUGAUCCGCGCUGACUUGCGGUUCCAAUGAAAGGCCCCAAUGUCUGUCUUUUUAUAACCGGUGUUUCCCCUUUCAUGCCCAAAAGCCAGCAGCCA